rnacentral:sRNA from 1 species
GUCUCUCCGGGCUUGCCUGGAGGGGCUAGUGGCGGACGGCUGAGUAACGCGUGGGUGACCUGCCCGGAAGUGGGGAAUAACUGCCCGAAAGGGUGGCUAAUACCGCAUGUGGCCAUACGUUCGAUCGUGUGACCAAAGUCGCAAGACGCUUCGGGAGGGGCCUGCGUCCGAUUAGCUCGUUGGUGGGGUAACGGCUCACCAAGGCGACGAUCGGUAGGUGGUCUGAGAGGACGAUCACCCAGACUGGGACUGAGACACGGCGCAAGACUCCUACGGGAGGCAGCAGUGGGGACUUCUAGAAAUCUCCUACAAAUUUCAG